UACGGGGGGGGCAAGCGUUGUUCGGAAUUACUGGGCGUAAAGGGUGCGUAGGCGGCUUUCUAAGUUGGAUGUGAAAACUCUGGGCUCAACCCAGAGCCUGCAUCCAAAACUGGAAAGCUAGGGUUCUGGAGGGGAAAGCGGAAUUCCUGGUGUAGCGGUGAAAUGCGUAGAUAUCAGGAGGAACACCGGCGGCGAAGGCGGCUUCCUGGCCCAUUACUGACGUUCAGGUACGAAAGCGUGGGGAGCAAACAGG
rnacentral:rRNA from 1 species